rnacentral:rRNA from 1 species
CUGGACAAGUGUGAUCGUAGCUCGGUAUUGCUGAAGCGGGAGCCCGUAGAUUUACAUUUGAGUGAGUGGCGAACUGGUGAGUAACACGUGGGAAACCUGCCCAGAAGCGGGGGAUAACACCUGGAAACAGAUGCUAAUACCGCAUAACAACUUGGACCGCAUGGUCCGAGUUUGAAAGAUGGCUUCGGCUAUCACUUUUGGAUGGUCCCGCGGCGUAUUAGCUAGAUGGUGAGGUAACGGCUCACCAUGGCAAUGAUACGUAGCCGACCUGAGAGGGUAAUCGGCCACAUUGGGACUGAGACACGGCCCAAACUCCUACGGGAGGCAGCAGUAGGGAAUCUUCCACAAUGGACGAAAGUCUGAUGGAGCAACGCCGCGUGAGUGAAGAAGGGUUUCGGCUCGUAAAACUCUGUUGUUAAAGAAGAACAUAUCUGAGAGUAACUGUUCAGGUAUUGACGGUAUUUAACCAGAAAGCCACGGCUAACUACGUGCCAGCAGCCGCGGUAAUACGUAGGUGGCAAGCGUUGUCCGGAUUUAUUGGGCGUAAAGCGAGCGCAGGCGGUUUUUUAAGUCUGAUGUGAAAGCCUUCGGCUCAACCGAAGAAGUGCAUCGGAAACUGGGAAACUUGAGUGCAGAAGAGGACAGUGGAACUCCAUGUGUAGCGGUGAGAUGCGUAGAUAUAUGGAAGAACACCAGUGGCGAAGGCGGCUGUCUGGUCUGUAACUGACGCUGAGGCUCGAAAGUAUGGGUAGCAAACAGGAUUAGAUACCCUGGUAGUCCAUACCGUAGACGAUGAAUGCUAAGUGUUGGAAGGUUUCCGCCCUUCAGUGCUGCAGCUAACGCAUUAUGCAUUCCGCCUGCGGAGUACGGCCGCAAGGCUGAAACUCACAGGAAUUGACGGAGGCCCGCACAAUCGGUGGAGCAUGUGGUUUAAUUCUAAAUCUACGCGGGGAACCUUAACAGGUUCUUGACGUACUAUGCCAAAUCUGAAAGAUUAGACAUUCCCCUUCGGCGCACAUCGAAGAAAAGUGUUCCAUGGUUUGAAAAUCGGAUUCUUGUCCAGCGAAGUUCUUUUUAAAUUCCCGCAAA